GAUAACAAAAGCUUUCCUACGCCGCCGGCCGCCGCACCAAUCGAGCAUCUCUGUCCCCGGCCUCGGCGCGGCGCUGUAUCAAGCAGGAACGACCGGUGACGCCCGGUAAGCGAGGCUGCACUGCUGCCAGCGGGCGCAUCCCGACGGGGCGCCGGAGCAACGGGCAACGGCGUGACUGCCGCGGUUCGUCGCUGCGCGAGCGACGGUGCUGGGACGCCCGACGACCCGCGUGCGUCGUGAGCUGCGAGGGAGGCCGCGGCUCGGUUGCUGCCCCGAGUGGUGGUAACUGGUAAGGCAAUCUCUGUAAUGCCUCUUUUGGUUGUCUGAACAAAUUGCUCGGUUUCUACUCUGAGCAGAUUUGAUUUGGCACGCAAUAUUUACCAGCACCCAAACAAAACCGUUGUAUAAUCUGUAUUUCUGUUCCUCCUUUGCUCAUGCAAUAUAAUUUAUUUCUCAAGCUAACUUUGGUAGUAGAAAUUAGCACGAUAAAAAAAAUUACAUGUCUGUAGCUGGCAGAUGUGGAUCAGCUGAGACAUCAGAUUAAUUCUUAUUCUUAAUAUAUGAAUCAGAUUUACAGUGACAUUGUGAUGCAUGUCGUGCCAUUUAAGUGUUGUGCCGGUUUGUGAUUUAUACCCUCAAUCAUAGUGUCUUCAUCAUGUGCUAGUUGUAUUUAUCUAUGGCCCACUUUCAAUACUACUACUGUUUCUCUUUAUUGUUAAUUAUUGAUCACUAUUCUAUUUCAGAUUCAAGUAUUCUCACGGGCACUAUGCAUUUGUGGUCAUAGAUGGAUUAAUUGCAUUUGCAAUGGCUGGUGGAGUUGCAAUACAAUUUUGCUGAUUUGCUUCUGGAUAGGGAAUUUAUCAUCUAUACUACAGGAACAUAUCUCCAAAAGAAGAUCCACCAAAAUUUGGGCACUAAAUAAGGACUCCUGGUUCCUAAUACAGAAACAUAGUAGACAUCAAGUGCCCAAAUUUUGGUUCUAGACAUCAAUUGUUCUAGUCCUAGUCAAUAUGGCCUUUUUAUUAGACACAGUGCUGAUGAUAAAUUGUUUCUACAAACAUUGCUCAUUGAUUUAAGAAAGUUCUUCUGAUCUAGUGGUGAAAAUUCCAAUACAUACUUCUGGCAGAUUGAGCAAUUGAUGUCUACUAUGUUUCUGUAUACUGUUUAAUCCUGCUACUGAUCAAUAGUACAACCGUGAGCAUUACAUACCACAACCAGCAUUAUAUGCUUUAUAUAGUUCUAUAAGCUUUGCAUUUUGUUCUUUGUCGACUUAAAUAUAUUUUCUAUGGUGUCAACAUGUUUCCUUAUUUAGCGUUUACUCAACAUUUGUACAAAUUAGAUUAGGUAGCAAAUCUGUAGAAGAACAACACAACAACUUGUGCAGAGUGAAAUCUAUGAUAACAAUGUUUACUAUGCUGUUAUUCUUUCCUGUAAUAUUUUUCUCACUGGAGCAUCAUCUCAGUGGUUCUAUUUGGCUGCACAUCAUCUAUUAUAGAAAUAAAGGUCUUAGUGUUAUUUCCCCUACCCAUACUAAAUGUUCCUAUAGCUUGAAUAAAAUAAUAUAUUUGCUGUGCAGCUGCUUUUCCCAGUUGAUUCGAUUAACGUUUCCAUUAUCAUCUAAUUCUUGUUCAACUUUAACUUUUAAGCAUUUCUGGAACCAUUCUUAGGAAAUGCUGAUAAUAGUGUUUGCCUAAUUAACAUACUUUCAAGAAGGUGCAAGAAGCUGGGCUGUAGCAUUCUGCUAUCUCCAGGUUUUAUUAUUACAAACCAAACCACUUGCUUCAGAAGAGAUGGGGCAUCCUCAAUUAUGUAAAGGCAACAAAAUAUUAUGCUGUUUGGCUGUUCCCCUUUCCGCAGCUGACCCGCCGUUGAUUUUCAUCUGUGUUCAGAUUGCAGCUCCAUGCUUUCCUGGCAUUGACACACCUUAUGUGACGCAAAGGAGUCAGAGAUCAAGUGAUUGCAGCCGUGAAUGAAACCCCGCCCUCCUCGUCCACUGCCAGUGCCACCACCGUCGCUCACCAACCCUACAGCUACAGGCGAGCGAGCCCUUUCCGCUGCACUGCAAACUCUGCUCCAAUGCUUGCCGAAUGCCGAGUAAAAGGAGCUGGGCAAGGUGGCGCACGCAGUGCAGUGACAGCGUAGUGAACUGCCAUGCGUAAACGACAGAGGUUUUUGUUUCCUGAGGGUCAUGAUCCAAGAUUUUCAAGCUUCUGAAUGCUGACCCACUCAAGUGGCAGCAAGACUUCUAUAUAUAAAAAGCGUAGUGGCACUGAUUACUGUUGUCUAGGAAUAUUCCCUCGAUCUCUAACGGUUCAAGCUGAGUUAUGAUGUCUGUUGCUUCAUUUAGCAAUGAUAAAACACCGGCCAUGGUCACAGUGAAA